rnacentral:rRNA from 1 species
UACGGAGGGGGCUAGUGUUGUUCGGAAUUACUGGGCGUAAAGCGCACGUAGGCGGAUUGGAAAGUCAGAGGUGAAAUCCCAGGGCUCAACCUUGGAACUGCCUUUGAAACUCCCAGUCUUGAGUUCGAGAGAGGUGAGUGGAAUUCCGAGUGUAGAGGUGAAAUUCGUAGAUAUUCGGAGGAACACCAGUGGCGAAGGCGGCUCACUGGCUCGAUACUGACGCUGAGGUGCGAAAGCGUGGGGAGCAAACAGG